rnacentral:rRNA from 1 species
AUUGAACGCUGGCGGCAGGCCUAACACAUGCCAGUCGAGCGGAUGAAGGGAGCUUGCUCCUGGAUUCAGCGGCGGACGGGUGAGUAAUGCCUAGGAAUCUGCCUGGUAGUGGGGGAUAACGUCCGGAAACGGGCGCUAAUACCGCAUACGUCCUGAGGGAGAAAGUGGGGGAUCUUCGGACCUCACGCUAUCAGAUGAGCCUAGGUCGGAUUAGCUAGUUGGUGGGGUAAAGGCCUACCAAGGCGACGAUCCGUAACUGGUCUGAGAGGAUGAUCAGUCACACUGGAACUGAGACACGGUCCAGACUCCUACGGGAGGCAGCAGUGGGGAAUAUUGGACAAUGGGCGAAAGCCUGAUCCAGCCAUGCCGCGUGUGUGAAGAAGGUCUUCGGAUUGUAAAGCACUUUAAGUUGAGAGGAAGGGCAGUAAGUUAAUACCUUGCUGUUUUGACGUUACCAACAGAAUAAGCACCGGCUAACUUCGUG